rnacentral:sRNA from 1 species
CAAUGACUUCUUCCUUCUUGCUGAGCUUCUGAGUGACUACAUUCGCCUCCUGGCCAUAGUCCGAUAUGGGCAGUCAGGUAACUACAUGGAACUGGCUUGGC